AUCUUUAUAUGUUGCAGUAUUAUUUUUUAGUGUCAGUGUGUGGUGUGUGAGUAUCUAACGUGGACUGCAGAUUUCCUGAUAUAUAAAACUAUAGAUGAUUAGCAAGAGAGAGACACGUAUAUAGAUACAAGAUCGGAAGCAAGAUACAUGUAUUAAAUAUUAAUUAUUGCCAUAAGUAUCUAAAAGAAACUAGUUGAUCUCUAACUCAGACUCAGUGAUCACUAGGGAGUAAUUCGUGCUCCAUCUUACAAUGCCUCCAACUCAGCUCUCUCAAGCAUGAAUCGCUCUCGAACAUAUGAAAUGUAGGUUGCAGCUUUCAUGUCUACAUUUUCGUCGCCACCAAUGUCUGGAAAACCUCUCAACUUAGUAAUGGAAACCUUGUGGAUUGAUGGAGGAUAUGCGUAGUAGCUCUGGCGAGUGGGGGAAUCUACUUCAGAACCAUUUGGGGUACAUGGGCUCGGACUGACCCUGCUACUAGAUUGCACUUGCUUAGAAGCUGGUUUGGUGACUCGAAACAAGGACUUGACCAUCUUAUUACCUCUCACAAACCCUUGACUUGAUCCUCUGUGUUUUGCCUCCAUUUGUUGCUGAGCUAGAGAAAGCUAGGAGGAGUUAAGUGUGACUGGAUAUGGUGGUUAAGAUUACAAGUUUUUUUUGCCUGUCCAUUCCAAGGAGGCAUUCGUGCUUAUAUAUAAAUAUAAAUGGCACUGCUUUGGGCGUCCGAUUCUAGUCAUGUAAAUUGCAAAUAUACCC
rnacentral:lncRNA from 1 species